rnacentral:rRNA from 1 species
UACGAAGGGGGCUAGCGUUGCUCGGAAUCACUGGGCGUAAAGCGCACGUAGGCGGCUUUUUAAGUCGGUGGUGAAAUCCUGGAGCUCAACUCCAGAACUGCCUUUGAUACUGAGGAUCUUGAGUUCGGGAGAGGUGAGUGGAACUGCGAGUGUAGAGGUGAAAUUCGUAGAUAUUCGCAAGAACACCAGUGGCGAAGGCGGCUCACUGGCCCGAUACUGACGCUGAGGCACGAAAGCGUGGGGAGCAAACAGG